rnacentral:rRNA from 5 species
CUUAGAGUCUCCUGAAGGAACGUUGAAGACGACGACGUUGAUAGGCCGGGUGUGUAAGCGCAGCGAUGCGUUGAGCUAACCGGUACUAAUGAACCGUGAGGCUUAACCUUACAACGCCGAAG